rnacentral:rRNA from 2 species
CUAAUACCGCAUAACAACUUGGACCGCAUGGUCCGAGUUUGAAAGAUGGCUUCGGCUAUCACUUUUGGAUGGUCCCGCGGCGUAUUAGCUAGAUGGUGGGGUAACGGCUCACCAUGGCAAUGAUACGUAGCCGACCUGAGAGGGUAAUCGGCCACAUUGGGACUGAGACACGGCCCAAACUCCUACGGGAGGCAGCAGUAGGGAAUCUUCCACAAUGGACGAAAGUCUGAUGGAGCAACGCCGCGUGAGUGAAGAAGGGUUUCGGCUCGUAAAACUCUGUUGUUAAAGAAGAACAUAUCUGAGAGUAACUGUUCAGGUAUUGACGGUAUUUAACCAGAAAGCCACGGCUAACUACGUGCCAGCAGCCGCGGUAAUACGUAGGUGGCAAGCGUUGUCCGGAUUUAUUGGGCGUAAAGCGAGCGCAGGCGGUUUUUUAAGUCUGAUGUGAAAGCCUUCGGCUCAACCGAAGAAGUGCAUCGGAAACUGGGAAACUUGAGUGCAGAAGAGGACAGUGGAACUCCAUGUGUAGCGGUGAAAUGCGUAGAUAUAUGGAAGAACACCAGUGGCGAAGGCGGCUGUCUGGUCUGUAACUGACGCUGAGGCUCGAAAGUAUGGGUAGCAAACAGGAUUAGAUACCCUGGUAGUCCAUACCGUAAACGAUGAAUGCUAAGUGUUGGAGGGUUUCCGCCCUUCAGUGCUGCAGCUAACGCAUUAAGCAUUCCGCCUGGGGAGUACGGCCGCAAGGCUGAAACUCAAAGGAAUUGACGGGGGCCCGCACAAGCGGUGGAGCAUGUGGUUUAAUUCGAAGCUACGCGAAGAACCUUACCAGGUCUUGACAUACUAUGCAAAUCUAAGAGAUUAGACGUUCCCUUCGGGGACAUGGAUACAGGUGGUGCAUGGUUGUCGUCAGCUCGUGUCGUGAGAUGUUGGGUUAAGUCCCGCAACGAGCGCAACCCUUAUUAUCAGUUGCCAGCAUUAAGUUGGGCACUCUGGUGAGACUGCCGGUGACAAACCGGAGGAAGGUGGGGAUGACGUCAAAUCAUCAUGCCCCUUAUGACCUGGGCUACACACGUGCUACAAUGGAUGGUACAACGAGUUGCGAACUCGCGAGAGUAAGCUAAUCUCUUAAAGCCAUUCUCAGUUCGGAUUGUAGGCUGCAACUCGCCUACAUGAAGUCGGAAUCGCUAGUAAUCGCGGAUCAGCAUGCCGCGGUGAAUACGUUCCCGGGCCUUGUACACACCGCCCGUCACACCAUGAGAGUUUGUAACACCCAA